rnacentral:rRNA from 1 species
UACGGGGGGGGCAAGCGUUGUUCGGAAUUACUGGGCGUAAAGGGCUCGUAGGUUGCCAACUAAGUCAGACGUGAAAUCCCUCAGCUUAACUGGGGAACUGCGUCUGAUACUGGAUGGCUUGAGUUUGGGAGAGGGAUGCGGAAUUCCAGGUGUAGCGGUGAAAUGCGUAGAUAUCUGGAGGAACACCGGUGGCGAAGGCGGCAUCCUGGACCAACACUGACACUGAGGAGCGAAAGCGUGGGGAGCGAACAGG